rnacentral:rRNA from 1 species
CAGUCGCCGCGGGAAUACGAAGGGUGCAAGCGUUACUCGGAAUUACUGGGCGUAAAGCGUGCGUAGGCGGUGAGUUAAGUCUGCUGUGAAAUCCCCGGGCUCAACCUGGGAAUGGCAGUGGAUACUGGCUCGCUAGAGUGUGUCAGAGGAUGGUGGAAUUCCCGGUGUAGCGGUGAAAUGCGUAGAGAUCGGGAGGAACAUCAGUGGCGAAGGCGGCCAUCUGGGACAACACUGACGCUGAGGCACGAAAGCGUGGGGAGCAAACAGGAUUAGAUACCCCCGUAGUCCCUGUCUCUUAUAC